UGAUUACAGCCUUCUGUAUUUGCUCAGUA
rnacentral:piRNA from 1 species